rnacentral:rRNA from 1 species
UACGUAGGGUGCGAGCGUUAAUCGGAAUUACUGGGCGUAAAGCGUGCGCAGGCGGUUUUGUAAGCCAGAUGUGAAAUCCCCGGGCUUAACCUGGGAAUGGCAUUUGGGACUGCAAGGCUGGAGUUUGGCAGAGGAGACUGGAAUUCCCGGUGUAGCAGUGAAAUGCGUAGAUAUCGGAAGGAACAUCAGUGGCGAAAGCGAACUUCCUGGACCAAUAUGACGCUCAUGUGCGAAAGCGUGGGGAGCAAACAGG